rnacentral:lncRNA from 12 species
CUGCUUCCUGUGUACGUAGGGAAACUGAACCCUAGUAAGGAGACUGGGCUAAUGUGAGCUCAACAUUAAAGUCAGGACUAAAAAAGCUCUCCGGGCCCUUCAUUCAUACUUCUUCUAUGUAGUCAGUCUUCAUAAACCUGUAAUAACAUCUCUUAUGACACUCCUUAUAUUCCAUUUUACUUUACAACUUCUUGUAAUUGUCUGGAUUUGUAGGUCCAGGAGCAGAGACCAUGUCCUAAUCAUCUUCAUAUAUUCUGCAGCACAUGGCAAAGGGCUCACACAUGGCCCGCCCCCUGAAAACACUGGAACAUCUGGUCAAGGUCUGUACCUGAAGCAGAGAUGAAGGACUGAAACAAUGAACUGGACAAAAAUCUGGUCCAUGUGACUCUCAGGAUGUAUGGAGGUGAGUGAAAUGAUGUUUUGUUUUCCCCCUGAAUUAUUAGAACAAUCAUUUCAACAUUCCUAUUCAGGCUGGGGCCCAGAAAUGGCCCUCCGCUGUGACUCACAUGGAAGGAUGGCAUUAGAUGCGUCUGGUUAAGGACAAAAAUCACUUUUUAAAGCCAGUAGUGUGGGCCCCACUCGUCCCCUUCCUGAACAUCCUUUAUCCCUUUGAGUGGGAGUGGGGGUCUGAAUUUCAAGGAUGUUGGGAUGGAUGGUCCCUUGGAUGGGAUGAAGUUAUCUGCUUUCCUAUUCAUUUUUAAAAAUAAAAGCUGAAAUAUUUUUAAAGACA